GGGGGGGGGGGAGCUGUACUAGAAACCACUAGGUGACUCAAAGCCUGAGCAAUAGCAAAACAUUACAAUUUAACAAUUUUGAUUUUUAGGUUAAACAAAGGUUCUGUGCCAUUGCUCAUUAACACCAACCCAUUACUCGAGUAUAUGUAUUUCAUUUGAAAACACCUUGAUCAGGUACUUCAUGUCAGAUCUUUAUAAUUUUUUCAAAGUUUUUAAUAUUUAAUAAAAUAACUUUAGGCUGUCAGGUCUUGCAAUGAUGUUCAAAUCGAAUUACUUCACCUGAAGUUUCAAGUUGAAGACAAGCGCUAACCUCUGAGCAAAGACCUUGACAUAUCAUUGUUCUAAACUGUCCUCUCUAAAAGUCUAGAGCUGGAUAGCUCUAUCAGUUCCAAACUGUUCUUCCUAGAGGUCCAGUAAGGAUCAUCUCUUAUUGAUCCAGUGUUACUACAGGAGGAAACCUAAACUAAACUAAACUAACUUUAUUUAUACUAGAUAGCUCUAUCAGUUCUAAAUUGUUCUUCUUGGAGGUCCAGUGAGGAUCAUCUCUUAUUGAUCCAGUGUUACUACAGGAGGAAACCUAAACUAAACUAACUUUAUUUAUACUGGAUAGCUCCAUCAGUUCUAAACUGUUCUUCUCGGGUCAAACUCUUGACAUAAUAAUAUGUAUUUUAUAGCUUGAAAAAUGUCAGGGCAUAAAUACUGAUGGAAUAAAGGUAAAAUACAAAUUAUUCUUUGAUCGUGUUGAGCUACAGAAACGUUAUGCUUGAAGCAACUGAAUAGUACGAACAUGCUGCAGUGAUGAAUUUUGAUUUUUCAACUGAAUCACUGAAUGUUGAUUCGAAUCGAGCUUUUUAAAACUGAGCAGACAUGUAUGUUCAUUGUUAGCUAACGGGUAUGCAUUGGCAACAAAAUUUAAAUAUGUUUAGACCGAAAGAACUCGUUAAACCGUAGAAUAAGUUGUCUUACAAAAUUUUUACAUCUUUGGUGAGAAGAUAUUUGAGUUUAUUUGAUAUUUAAAUAAGAUGACGUUUCAUACCAGAAUUAAUGACUCGAUACAGACUUAUAUGAUUUCAUCGGUUUAGAAGAGUAUUAGCAUUGUGACUACCAUCUUUGAAAACUACCAGCUUGCAAUGUCAUAUAUUUGUUUCAUUUGCAUUUCAAACAAACUAAAAUGUCCUGUUCAAGAACGAAAAAGAUAAAGAAAUUCAAAUGACUUAUUUCUUACAGUUUAAUGAGUUCUUCCUGUGUAACUGAGACUUGAAUUUCAUUGCUGGUGAUACCUUUUCGAUAAUUUCAUUGUGUUGACUUGUAUAAAAACAUCUAUUGUACCAUGUGCUUUCAUAUUUAAUAUAGAUUUCAUAUCUCAUCGAGGCCCAAGUUGGUUGAAGGACUCGCUAUUAUGACACCACCUUCCCAUGAACAACAUGGAACAAAGAUUUAUCUUUAUAAAAGGUAACACCACUCUCCUCUGCAGUCUGCAACGCUACUAUCCCAACAUUACCAUUAUUUGAGAUGGCCGAAUCUGCAUGUUCGCCGUUCUGUUACGUUUUACAUUAUACAAUUACUUUAUGGUUUCCGUGUUUGGAUGGCCUGAUCCAAACACGCGGGAAUGUUGCGAGAGUUAAGAAAAGCGAGCCAAAUCACGAGCCGAAGGCGAGUGAUUUUGCCCGCUUUUCUUAACUCGAGCAACAUUCCCAAGUGUUUGGAUCAGUCCAUCCAAACACGGAAACCAUAAAGUAAUUGUUUUAUAAAAUAACAACAACACGGUAGUCUUCCGUGUUUGGAUGGCCUGAUCCAAACACGGCUUUCGACCAAUCAGAAUACGCGUUAUAUACAUGUUAUUUUAUAAUAUCUUUUGUUUAUAAAGUUUAUAUCGGCUUUUUAUCACGUAUGCGUGACUGGACAGUUGCUGUAGCACAGUACAGUAAAUUUGCUUGUUAAAGCACAGUAUAUUUGAAAAUAUGGCUGUAUAACAACCUCGACAUGUUUACGUAUUGAACCAUGAUAUUUAAUGAGUCUUUUCUCGUGAGCUCUCAAGUUAAUUAAACGGCGUUUCAAGAAAUCGACACGCGCUAACAGUAGAAGUUCGGCUAAUCUCUAUUCGAAAAGCAGAAAAUGUAUGGUGAAGCAGAUUUUUUUAGCGUGAUGCUGGAAUUCUCUAGGGGGCAGCUAUAGGCACCAGUAUAGGUGGGGUGCGCGCUAACCCCUUAAAACCGUCCGCAUGCUAAUGUUUCGUUUGAAGUGAUGAGUGGCACGUUCGCUUCAAGAAUGAGACUGUGUUUUAUUCUUGUUGCCUGAAGGCAUUACUAUGUUGAACAUCUAGAGUGCUCAGGGGCCAUCUGAUCAAACUACGAUCUAAUAAAAGACUGUUUAAACUGUAUACGACAUGAAAUUUCGUAUUUUCUUGAAUGAAAGAACUCUUUAAGCUGUAGUGUAACUUAUAUUUCCGUUUCUUGUUUUUAUGGUUUGUUCCCGAGAUAUUUCAAUAUGUUUGAUAUGUAAAUGAGUGUGAAUAUGUCCGCUAAUUUAUGACGCCACAUUUGUUGCAAGCUCUUCAAAAUGGUUGAAUAUCACUGCUAUCAUCCAAGAUGAUAAUUUCAAACUUCACUCACUGGUAAAAGUGGUGAAACACUGUAGAAAAACGUGAACUGAUAUCUACAGUUUUUAGAGUUAAUAGAUUUAUAACCGGUGUAAGUUGAGCUUGCAGCCAACGUGAUGUCAUAAAUUAGCGGACAUAUUCGCACUCAUUUACAUACCAAACAAAUUGAAAUAUCUCGGGAACAAACCAUAAAAACAAGAAACUGAAAAAUAAGUUAUACUACAGUUUAAAGAGUUCUUUUGUUUAAGAAAAUAAGAAAUUUCAUGUCAUAUACACUUUAAUUAAGCGACGGUUUUUGUCAUAUUGCCGAGGGUAGAUUCGAUUACCAUGACUCUUUCUUUCUUAGGGAAAGAAAUCAAUCCCGUGUCCAGUGCAAAGGAUUUAGGAGUCAUCGUAGACUCGCACUUGACGUACAACGAACGUAUUAGUAAUCCCGCGCGCUGUCUCGUGCGCCACAGAACUCCUGUCAGAUCAGUAGGGUUAAAGAUAGUUUUAACAAGAAAACUCUUAGCCUCAUUAUCUCAUCUUUCGACACCAUCAGCUGUUUUACUGUUCUUCACUGUGGUCCAAUACAAUUGCGCCAAACAUUAAUAAACUCCAAGUUGUAUAACAACAUUUAUUAUUAGCGUGACAAAAUUACUGGAUGCUGAUUGGUUGAGAGGAGUACAAUUAUUUCAUUAAUUGUACUGCAGUAUACAAUUAAUGAUUUUCCCAAAACAAAUAAAAUGGCGGAAAGGUAUUUUAACAAAAUACAAAUGUGAAAUGAAAUUGUCCUAUAGGAUCUAGAUGAAAAUACGAACAGAAGCACCAAAUGUUGCUUUAACAAAAGAACUAAAUGAAAAUACGAACAAAAGCACCAACUUUUGGUUGAUAGUCUGGCAGGACUGGGCUUUGGCGAGAGAAUAUGAUGUUGACAUUGAGAAGUAUCCAAUUUUGUUAUGCUAAUAAUAAAAACGUAAUCAUGCGAUGUUGCUCGUACAAUUAUAGGGAUUAAUAGUACGAGUGAUGUUUGGAAUUUUGCCAAAUUGAACACGCCCCGGCGGCUCGUCCAAUUUAGGCAAAAUUUCCAAACAUCACUCGUACUAUUAAUCCCUAAUUGCACUCGCCAUCGCAUGAUUACCUAUACUAAACGGGCAGGAUCUCCCAGUCGAUUCAAAAAAUUGAUGAGAAACUAGAUAGACGAUUUUAACAACAACGGUAUAUAAUAUUUUACGUGCAUGCACAUUUUUUUCAUACGUAUUUUAUAGACUUUACAGGUAAACUACGCGAAGCGUUCCUCCCUUGACCUUUUUCGUUCGCUGCUGAAAUAACCAGGGGCC